rnacentral:rRNA from 1 species
CGAGAAUCAUUCGCAAUGGGGGAAACCCUGACGAUGCGACGCCGCGUGAACGAUGAAGGUUUUCGGAUUGUAAAGUUCUGUCACAAGGGAAGAAAGGUAUAUAGGUUAAUACCCUAUGUAUUUGACGGUACCUUGAGAGGAAGCCCCGGCUAACUCCGUGCCAGCAGCCGCGGUAAUACGGAGGGGGCAAGCGUUGUUCGGAUUUACUGGGUGUAAAGGGGAUGUAGGUGGCCUUUUAAGUUGGAUGUGAAAUCCCUCGGCUCAACCGAGGAACUGCAUUCAAACUGAUUGGCUAGAGUGUGGAAGAGGAAAGCGGAAUUCCUGGUGUAGCGGUGAAAUGCGUAGAUAUCAGGAGGAACACCGGUGGCGAAAGCGGCUUUCUGGUCUGACACUGACACUAAGGUACGAAAGCUAGGGGAGCGAACGGGAUUAGAUACCCUAGUAGUC